rnacentral:misc_RNA from 1 species
GGCUGGCUGGAAGCGGAGAUGAGAGCCGGGGUGUUUGGGUGCUUCUCCAUGUACUGCGGCCUGAACUCAGCCAGGAAGGCGAAGAACGGGGUGAGGCCGCGCUUGGGCUUGCCGGCGCCUCCGGCCUUCUUGCGCUUGCCGGCGGCCUUGAACUCGGCGUCGGCGUCGGCCUUGCCCAUGGUGGCGGAAGGGGGGUAGGGCUUUGCGGAGGGUUAG